GGAUCGCACACAAGAAAGAGACUGCUAACGGAUGAGACACGUUUUAAGCGAUUCCGUAAAAUGGAUUUCUGCAUAAACUGCAUUUUCAAAGUAGGAACUACAGCCAGGCUCUUCUGUGUAACACCUUACGGGAGGCAAAGAUGGAUGCUGAAAUGACAACAGUGUUUUGAGCACAACAGAAAAGGAAUUAAUCUUCUUUUUUCUUCUUGUUUCAAGUUGGUUUUAUGGAGUAAUUGCCAGUUUAGAUGCAGAUGGUUAGAGAGUUUUUGUCCUGCUAGCUGUCAACGGGUCCAUUUUGUGUCCAUGACACCGGCAGCAUCAUGGGGCUCACAAGACAAAGCCACCGUCCAACUAAACUAGGAGCUUGCAGUCUGCCUCCUUUCUGGUCCACCAUUUGGACAUCAUGAAGCAAAUUCUUCAAUUUCUGCCUGACCAGCUGGAGAGCUGUUUGGAUCUUUAAAAGGACCGGCUGUACAACACCUGAGGUUCAGAGCCAAACCAGGCCUGGGAGCUUCUUCAUCAGGGUUUUGGCUCGGCGUGUGGGGGGAGCACCAGUUCUGGUCCUUCUCCUCAGAGCCCUCAGGGUUUUUGCUCGGAACGUGGAGAAGGCCAGUUUUAAUUCCUGUAACCCUGGAUCGAAGGGUGUCUCUCUCAGAGCUCGCUGCUGGACUCCUGGAACUCUGAACUUGCCUGAACGUUUUGUGAAUUCCUGGAACCAUGGAUCCUUCUGUUCUGAUCUGUUCAGAUCGGAACCCUGUGGUUGGGCUACGGACUCCUGGACCUGGCAACUGUUCAGUUUUGAACUGUUUCUCUGACCUUGAUCAGUCUCCUGCCUGCUCACUGGGGCUGCUGCAUCAGGGACACUUUGGACAGCUUGGAGCCAUAUCUUGUUUGGCAGUCCAUCGGCGGGAUCUUGCCUUCCUCGGAGAGGAUGGACUGAACUGUUAAACCAGAUUUCAAAAGACUGAAGUGAGGAGUCUACUACUACAUGAUUAAUCGUUAAACAUGGCUGCUUGCUUCAGCAGGGAACAGAUGCUAGUUGCCUCCAUUUGAAGGAAAUUCUUCCGCUGUGUUGCCAGGAAAUCAGGCAUCCAGUAGCCUAGCAGUGGAGCUCCAUUUCCCUGCUGCAGGGCACAGACUCUUCUUCUUCUUGCCCCUCCCUCGCCCACUCUCCCCCCUUCCACAAGGAUUUUGACAACAAGGGGUGUGCUGAUUGCAAGAUGACAGUCCCAGAGAGGAAACCAAAUCUCCUAACCUUUGUUUUUCAUCAGUCAUUAUUGGACAGAGAUGGAAGAUGUCCUGCUGCAGAUUUCAUCCCUGAUGGGACCUUGUCCUUCUGCAGACAAAUCAAAUGAUUCAAAUGACCUUCUGUUAUUUAUGAAAAGAACAGAAAUGUGAUGUUAAGUUUUAAAGUUGAGUGUUUAGAGAGUUUAAAAUAUAAUAAUACAUGGAAAACAAUAAAGGCUCCUACAACCAUCAUAUACAAGGUGUGAUUUUUGUCAUUGUUAAUC